AUUGAACGCUGGCGGCAUGCCUUACACAUGCAAGUCGAACGGUAACGGGCCUUCGGGUGCCGACGAGUGGCGAACGGGUGAGUAAUACAUCGGAACGUGCCCGAUCGUGGGGGAUAACGAGGCGAAAGCUUUGCUAAUACCGCAUACGAUCUACGGAUGAAAGCAGGGGGCCGCAAGGCCUUGCGCGGACGGAGCGGCCGAUGGCAGAUUGGGUAGUUGGUGGGAUAAAAGCUUACCAAGCCGACGAUCUGUAGCUGGUCUGAGAGGAUGAUCAGCCACACUGGGACUGAGACACGGCCCAGACUCCUACGGGAGGCAGCAGUGGGGAAUUUUGGACAAUGGGCGCAAGCCUGAUCCAGCCAUGCCGCGUGCAGGAUGAAGGCCUUCGGGUUGUAAACUGCUUUUGUACGGAACGAAAAGCCUUCUUUUAAUACAGGAGGGUCAUGACGGUACCGUAAGAAUAAGCACCGGCUAACUACGUG
rnacentral:rRNA from 1 species